UUGGGCGCGAAGGGCGGGGCCUGAGCUUGGCGCGGCCGGUGCUCUACGGCGCGCCCGGGUGUUUUCGGCUCUGAAGUCGGAGGGGUUUCGGCUAGGCCGUCAAGCUAGAUGUGAAACGUCUGUGUCCGGAAGGGGUUUUCCCCUUGUAACUUUAGCCCAGGCAGCGUAGAUAAUAUGGCUUAUGAAGGAGAGCUAUGGAAAGUGAGGAACCAGGAAUUUAACUGGAAGCACGUGAGAAACAGGACUGCACCAUUUUGUACUCUUUCUACAGACUUCGUGUGCGCUGCGUCUUGAGAUCACAACAUGAGUAAGAUCUAGCCCUUCAAAUGACGCUGCAACGAGGGGGAAACUGAGCUGUGAGGAGUGGUAAAGGGGACACAAGGAGGUACCCAUUCGGGAAACUUCCCCGGCUCUAUUCCCGCUGUUCUUGAAGGACAGGAACUCUGGAGACUCUGGAACUCUGGAGAUUCUGGAAAACCUGAAAGGCUGGAGAAGUAUAAGGGCUGCUUCGUGCUGUGACAGCUGGCCUCUCCCAGAACAGGCAGUCCAAGAGAGAAGAUCCAAGAAUGGAAACCAUGGUCUUUUUAGAACUCAUUGCAGAGUGACAUCUCAUCAUUUCUGCUUUUGAAAUUGAGUCAAGUCUAGCCCACAUUUAAGGAGAGAGGAUUACACAGGGGCAUGAAUACCAGGAGGCAGGGAUCCUGGACGUCCAUCUUAACCACAGACCACAGUGCUGUUCUUUUGCCAUCUUGUUGGCAAGUGAUCCACUUUCAGAAUCCCAUCCUUAGGAUUGCCUUCUUAGGACUACUUCUGGUACCAAAUAUCUUAGUUUGGGAUAGGAGCAGAGCUUGAGACAAAAAUUAGAUUUGCAGUAGUUUGAUUAACAAGAUGGAUGGGACACUAAUAGGAAAGUGGGGAAAUUCCAAUUCAGACUUGGGAAGAUAGUGAAGAGUCAUCCCAAGGCCCAGAGUGAAUAAGUUUGAUAGCACCUAUCCCCUCUAUCUGCAGGGAGCAGGCACCCUGAAGGAAAGACAAGAUGUCUACCUCAGGAUGCUUGCUCUGUUUGGGAAGCAGAAUCUCACAAGAGCCCCUUGACAUUACAUGAUAGCCAUGAUAUCCUGUUGGAGAGAGAGACUGAGGAUGUAGCCCACCUUCCUGACCAAUCUUUUUUUUUUUAAGAUUUUAUUUAUUUGAAAGAGAGAAUGAGAGAUAGAGAGCAUGAGAGGGAAGAGGGUCAGAGGGAGAAGCAGACUCCCUGCUGAGCAGGGAGCCUGAUAUGGGACUCGAUCCCGGGACUCCAGGAUCAUGACCUGGGCCGAAGGCAGUCGCUUAACCAACUGAGCCACCCAGGUGCCCGUUUCUGAUCAAUCUUAAAUCAUGAAGCUAGUCGGUUUAGGUUUAAAAAAAAAAAAAAAAAAAAAAGACAUUUUAUAUCCUGGUCUCUCAAGGUCUACUGACAUGCGGGGCUCCUGUCUGAUUCAGUGGCUCCAGAUCUAGGGAAGCCCGGGCUGGAGCAGAAGAGACUUGAACCAGGAAGGGAGCUCCUGUUGUGUGUAUAGUGGGGAGAGGAUUGGGAAAGAGACUGUAUGUCUAGGAGAUAGGGAAGGAAGUCCUAUCCCAAGAGGAAUGAUAAUCUUAAUCCUGGAUCUAGGAGAAUUAAGAAGGGAAACCCCUUCUUAAUUCAGAGUGGUAGGGAGCCAGGGUGAAGGGAUUGGAUGCCACAAACUAUUAGUGGAUCUUGUCUUCCCGUCAUCCACUUCUUGGAGGAAAGAAUCUGUGGGACACAUUAGUUAAAGCACUACACAAUUACCCCCUUUCUGUGAAGAGUGAAGUAAAAGCUAGUUUUGUUAUUUAAUACCACAACUGCCUCCCAGGGAGUGUGGAUCCUGAUAAAUAACAAGACUCUCCCCAGGACCCCUUCCCCCCAUUUUUUUCCUGCUGAAUCCCUAGAUGGCUUAGUUAUAAAGCCAGGUAAUAUGAACUGCUGAGAGCUAAACUGUCCUGGCCAAUUGAAGAAGAACUUGAAAUUGCUUUGAUAAUCCAGGAGAGAAGAGGGAAAACUAACAAAAAUGGGACAAAGAAGAAUUCAAGAAAUCCCUCUGUCAACCUCAACAAUGAGUUAGGCACUCUCUUUGAGGAUAAAAACUGACUUUUGGAUGUUUGUAGCUGGCAACUUAAUUGGUAAAUUAUUUUUUCUGCUUUGGUAGAAGGAAAAGUAAGUGUGUCAUUUAUUAUUUAUUUAUUUCUAACUAAAGGAAAUAUUAAGAGCUGAAACUCAAACCAGAUCAUUUAUUUUAUUAUUUUCUGUUCACAGGCCAAUUAAGUAUAUGGUAAGGGAGAGGCCACAUUUACUGGUAAAGUUCUUCCCACCUAAGAGGAGAUCAUGUUGAUUUAAUCAUAGCCUCAUGGCUUCCAUCCUGUGAAAUCAGCAAGGAACAGUUUCCAUACACUGAUUUGGAGGCUCAGGACAUAGACUUAAUUUUUCUUAUUUUGUAUCAUUUAUAGUUCUCUUUGGGCCUGACAGAAGACAGUACUCAGCAACACUAAGAUGGAAAUUAUUUGUUUAUGAACUCUAACUUUGGCAGGCACUGCAUUUAUUUCGAUCCUUAUGUGUCCCUGGGAUCUAACCUGGUGCCUGACAUCAAUAGGCACUUGCUAAAGGAGAGAAUUUAUGAGUGCAUGAAUACACACAUGUCUGAGUCAGGCAGGGAGGGAAGAAAGGAGGAGACCUAUGUUCUAGUCCCAGCUCUGCCAUGACCUUCUGCAAGGUCUUUCCAGGCUGGAUGAUCUUGGGGUCCUGAAUUGAGGUACAUUCCCUAAGUGUGAAUUCUGUACCUGGU